rnacentral:lncRNA from 1 species
CAGUUCUUAGGGAAACGUUUGCUGGUGAACCUGAACAUGCAAUAAAAUAAAUGGAGUUCUCAAUUUCAAAGUGAACUACCGCUGUGCCGCACACCCAUAUUCUAGAAUCUGAACUUUCAAAGUGAAACCCUAGAGAACUACUCAUUCUCCGCUUCGGCCUCCCCUCCGUCGCCACGCCAGAAGACCGGCGCCAUCUCGCCAGGUCCACGCAACAGCAGUAGCCCAGCCCACGACCUGCGUCCUCCCGUCAUUUGCCAGCAGACCGCCGUCUUACAGCAGCAGCAAGCAGCUGAUAUGUGUGAAAUUGAAUCGCUGAUGUUUAUGGAUUUUUUUCUCUUCAGAUUUCGAGAUGUGAGGCAGCAACAUGUUUUUCUUGUUCUUUUCGCUUUUUUGUAAUUAUUUGAAAUGAGUCAAAUGACAGUAGCAUGUGUUUUAUGAUUUGAAAAAUAGAAAAUUCAGUUUUUAUAAAUCGGGUCGGUUCGGUUCGGUUUUGAACCGAUGUUCAGCCAUAUUUGUGGGAAAAACCAAAAUUUGAAAAUUUAUUAUUGUUUUAAACCAAAUUUACCCUAAAAAAAUUGGGAAGGGGGGGGGAGGAGGUGUGGGGGUGGCGAGUAAAAUAUACAAAAAUUUGGGGGAAGGGGGUUGGGGGUGGCAAGAAAAAUUUAAUAAAAAGAUAGGGGGGGGUUG